GGUAGCACUGCUGAUGGAGGUCUACUGUCGACAGUGUUACAGUCGGCAAAGAAAAAGGUUGAGAUUUAUUUACAGAAGAUCUGAUUGAUAGCUACUUCUGCUUCUAAUUUUUGCUGAAGUAAAUUUCAAAUUGGAUGAAUGAAUUUGUUGGUUUUUUAUGGUUGAUGGUUGUUUCUGCUUCUGGUUUUGCUAAAGUGAAUUGAAAUUUGAUGAAUGGAUGUAAAAAUUUUUAUAUUUUGGGUAAAUUUUAGUGUUUGAUUGAUUUGGUUUGGAUAUAGGUUGUAAAUUUAUGACUGAAUCAAUUAAGGUCCGAUCCUCCACCACUAUCAUCACCAUCGAUUUUGGCCUAGUCUGUUGUAGGAGUAGUUUUGGACUCCAUGGCAAGGGUUCUAAAGAUGCAGGUUGAGUUA